rnacentral:lncRNA from 1 species
CGGAGAGGUAAACUAAGGCAUAAAUGAAGCACUGCGAGGCACACGACUUGGAGAAACAUUUAACAAGGAACGUUUGUUCUUCUGCAAACACUGAGCAUUUUAUGAUCACAAGCUUAGAUUACAGCAGAGCUCUUGGCAUGCCAAAUACUACUGCAGUUGUACAAGCCUAUUUUUCAAGAGGAAAAGACAGAGAAGCAACCCAGUAGUGCAUGUUUGUAACAGAAUCUGGCUAAAGCAAAGCAACCAGCGUGUCUCCAGCAUGAAUAAGCAAACUGUGCCUUGGGCUACAUCAGGAGGCCAACAGAUCAUGGGAAGAUCCCCACUGACUCAUCCACUUUGGCCACACGAAAUACUGUGUCUGUUUCCAGGCCUCUCCCAGUUGAAGGGGAAUGCGAAAGAAGGAAAGAGGGUCCAGAAGCUAAUCGGGGCCUGGGGCACGUGAUCAAAAAACAGAAGCUGAGCUUCUAUAGACAAGGGAAGAUGAAGCUGAGAGUGCCCUACAACUAUUCCAAAGAUGUGCAUCAUAUGUAUGCAGGAAUGCACAGAAAUGGUAUUACCCCUUUAUAAAUUAAAGGAGCAAAAUGAAGAUCUAAAAGCAUCAGUAGGCCACAAGGACAAAGACAAAGGAUUCUUGCUUGAUGAAAUCAUUAUAUUAAUAAGACUAAGUCCAUCCUAAGCACAGGAACAGACUGUCAGCAGAAUCUUCUC